UACGGAGGGGGCUAGCGUUGCUCGGAAUUACUGGGCGUAAAGGGCGCGUAGGCGGCACUGUUAGUCAGGCGUGAAAGUCCUGGGCUCAACCUGGGAACUGCGCUUGAUACGGCAGAGCUAGAGGAUGGAAGAGGCUCGCGGAAUUCCCAGUGUAGAGGUGAAAUUCGUAGAUAUUGGGAAGAACACCGGUGGCGAAGGCGGCGAGCUGGUCCAUUACUGACGCUGAGGAGCGAAAGCGUGGGUAGCAAACAGG
rnacentral:rRNA from 1 species